GCCUAGGUAGCUUAGUUGGUAGUGCGUCUGCCUUGUAAGCGCUAGGCCGCAGGUUCGAUUCCCGGCCGGGGCG
rnacentral:tRNA from 1 species